rnacentral:rRNA from 1 species
AGUGAACGCUGGCGGCGUGCUUAACACAUGCAAGUCGAACGAGAACGGAUUAUAGCUUGCUAUAAUUGUCAGCUAAGUGGCGCACGGGUGAGUAAUGUAUAGGUAAUAUGCCUCUUACUAAGGGAUAACAAAUGGAAACGUUUGCUAAUACCUUAUACUCCUUAUUAACAGAAGUUAAUAAGUGAAAGAUUUAUUGGUAAGAGAUUAGCCUGUAUUGUAUCAGUUAGUUGGUGGGGUAAUGGCUUACCAAGACUAUGACACAUAACUGGUUUGAGAGGAUGAUCAGUCACACUGGAACUGAGACACGGUCCAGACUCCUACGGGAGGCAGCAGUGGGGAAUAUUGCACAAUGGACGAAAGUCUGAUGCAGCAACGCCGCGUGGAGGAAGUCACAUUUCGGUGCGUAAACUCCUUUUAUAUGAGAAGAUAAUGACGGUAUUAUAUGAAUAAGCACCGGCUAACUCCGUGCCAGCCGCCGCCGUAA